rnacentral:tRNA from 1 species
ACCUGGCUGGCUCAGUUGGUAGAGCAUGAAACUCUUGAUUUCCGGGUCAUGAGUUCGAGCCCCACGCCGGGUG